rnacentral:rRNA from 1 species
AGGGUGUAAACGCUGCAGACUUGGUGUUGGAAGUCCUUUGGGGGCAUUCAGUGCCGGAGAGAAGUUGUUAAGUCUGCUACUUGGGGAGUACGUCCGCAAGGAUGAAACUUAAAGGAAUUGGCGGGGGAGCACCACAACGGGUGGAGCCUGCGGUUUAAUUGGACUCAACGCCGGGAAGCUCACCGGAUAAGACAGCGGAAUGAUUGCCGGGCUGAAGACUCUGCAUGACUAGCUGAGAGGUGGUGCAUGGCGUAGACGUCU